UACGUAGGGGGCGAGCGUUGUCCGGAGUUACUGGGCGUAAAGGGCACGCAGGCGGUGCGGCGCGUUUCGCGUGACAAGCGGAGGGCUUAACUCUCCGAGGAUGCGAAAGACGGCGGCACUUGAGGGCCAGAGAGGGACACGGAAUUCCGGGUGGAGUGGUGAAAUGCGUAGAGAUCCGGAGGAACACCGAAGGCGAAGGCGAGUGUCCUGGCUGGUGACUGACGCUGAGGUGCGAAAGCUAGGGGAGCGAACGGG
rnacentral:rRNA from 1 species